rnacentral:rRNA from 1 species
GUGGGGAAUCUUCCGCAAUGGACGAAAGUCUGACGGAGCAACGCCGCGUGAGUGAAGAAGGUUUUCGGAUCGUAAAGCUCUUUCGUUAGGGACGAACGUGCUCUUUGUGAAUAAUGAGGAGUAAUGACGGUACCUAAAUAAGAAGCCACGGCUAACUACGUGCCAGCAGCCGCGGUAAUACGUAGGUGGCAAGCGUUGUCCGGAAUUAUUGGGCGUAAAGCGCGCGCAGGCGGGAUAUCAAGUCUGUCUUAAAAGUGCGAGGCUCAACCUCGUGAGGGGACAGAAACUGGUAUUCUUGAGUGUCGGAGAAGAAAGUGGAAUUCCAAGUGUAGCGGUGAAAUGCGUAGAGAUUUGGAAGAACACCAGUGGCGAAGGCGACUUUCUGGACGAUGUCUGACGCUGAGGCGCGAAAGCUAGGGGAGCGAACGGGAUUAGAUAUCCCGGUAGUCC